rfam:Lactobacillus oris PB013-T2-3 contig00097, whole genome shotgun sequence.
UGCGAUGAGUCGAGAGGUCUGGUAGCAACCCAAAUGGCUACCAUUGACAUUUUGACAGUGGGGCGCGUUAACUCACCGGAUUGUGAGGCGCCUGGUUAAUGGCGAAGUGGACAUCGC